GUCCCGUGAAUAAGCAAAAAUAUUUGCCGCUUGCCAUCUCCCAAAAUUUCCCACUCCCACGCCACUCACACUCAACUAGAGCCACUUAGAAUAUAUAUAUAUAAAUAAAUAACUAAAAAUAAAUUCACUCUUUCUCAUUUCCGGACGAAACCCCUCUCUCUCAUGCCCAGGAAACCACCGCUCAAACAUUCCAACCUACUUGGUUUCUCAAUUUUUACUGAUUUCUUUUGUCUCCACCAAAGCCCUAAUUUCAUUGCCCUAGUUCUUAAUCUUUGAGGGUGCAUUCAUCAAACAAAUCAAAGCCCUAGUUAUUAAUCUUUGAGAGUUCAUUCAUCAAACAAAUCAAAGCCAUAAUCCUUAAACUUUGGUUGAUUAUUUCAUUUCAGAUUAAAGGUGCGAAAGAGGAUUUCAUUGCCCUAACUCUAGGCAAGUUUCAGAUAAAAGGUGCGAAAGAGGAUUUCAUUGCCCUAAUCCCAUCCUUCGUUCCUGCAGCAGUAUCCGAUCGUUUCUCGCCACCGUCGACCUCUCGGGGGAGAUAACCGUUCACUGUCGGUUAAGAUUUAUUAGGUAUGUGGGUUUCUCCUGCCCGAUGAGCUUCCCUGCAGAUUCCGGCAGCCCAUAUUCAUCUUUUUCGGCCGCGGUUGGCCAGAAUUUCUUACAGUCCAUCUCAAUCUCUCUCUUCGUUCCUCUUCUCUCACUAUUGUGAUCUCGGUGCAAAAAUGAGGAGGAAGUAGUUACUGUUAUUGCACAUGAACUGGGUCAUUGGAAGCUUAAUCAUACAAUGUACUCUUUCAUUGCUGUUCAGGUAUGCUUUAAUUAUUCUCUUUGAAUGUCCCAUGAUACCCUGCUAGUUAUAUAUAUCAUCGUUACAUAUGUAUGGGUACUGGUGUCAGAUGUCAUUAGUUUAUAAGUUUUUUUUGUAAUUGGAGCUAGUGUUUUUAAAGGCAUUGGAAAUUGUGAAGUCACGCCUGGUUUCUUGUCUUGAGAAGAGGGUCAAUGAAAAUUUGAGGCAUGGCAUCUUUUUUGUAAUUGGAGCCAGUGUUUUUAAAGGCAUUGGAAAUUGUGAAGUCACGCCUGGUUUCUUGUCUUGAGAAGAGGGUCAAUGAAAAUUUGAGGCAUGGCAUCGUGACUCCAUGAACAUGGUUUCAAAUUUGUGAUUCAUGAAGUUUUCUCCGAGACUAAUUAAAUUUAGUAAAUAUAAGAUAAAAAUGUUGGGAAUGUGUUGGGUGGAGGAAAAUUAAUUAUGUUGUCUAGUGUGGAGGAUUUUGUUAUCAUUUUGCAAUUAUUAUAAAAUGUUUUUCUUUAAUAAUAUAUUGAAUCAGAGAAAACUCUCGGAAGCCUUUUUUUUUCUUUUCUUUUUCUGGUAAGUAGAAAACUCUAACCAUGUAAUUACCUUAAAAAUUCACCCUAACUAAUAUUCUAGAACUUAAAUUUGAUUACUAGAAGCUUUGAAAUUUAACUAAAAAAUCGAAAAAGAAAAUAUAUCAAAUAACUUUAACUAAUUUAUAUAUAUUUUCAUAUUCAGUCACUUCUGAUUGGAAGAAACUUAUCCUCUAGUUUAAUCCUUUCUUUACAAUGAAAAAACUGUUUGGAAUAUUUUUAAGUUUUAACGACUUCAACUUUUACCCAAAUUUGUUCUCCAUGAAUUGGAAUUUCCUUGUCUUCCAUUGACUAAAUCAUUAUGAAAUACUAUUAAAAUUUUCAACAUAAAACAGUUUUGUAACUGAUUCUUUAAUGCAAUAUUAGUCAAGGAAUCAUUUACUUGAUCCUAGGAUUUGGAAAAUAUUGACUUGGAUUAAUUUUUAAGGACUUUUGAUGAAUCUGGUGAUCAAUUUUAAUGACUCUGACUUGAAUAAUCUUCGCGGUAUUCUUGUUGGUCAACUUUGUUUAUAAAAUAUGCUAGAGAUAAUAGGAUGUCUAGUUUUGAAAAAAUGACAUGAAAAACCAAUCUAUAAGAAGUCAUUGACAUAAAAGUUAGUAAUACCCAGUUGAGAAAAGUAACUAAAUAGAGAUAUAAAAUGCAUAUUUCUCUUCUACUGUUCACAAACCAUAUUUAACAACCUACUUUAAACAUAAGUCUUAAAUAAGUACUUAACAAGACUUGCUUUUCUUGUAUGUCGUUAAUAUUACAAGUCGUAAAAAAUUAAUUUUCUUGUAGUGUAAUAGUACUUUUUCAGUCAUUAUAUUAUUACAUACUAACGGUGGAGUGCAUGCAUGUUUGGAAUUUAGGAUAAAUGUAUUUUGUGUGUGUGUAGAGAGAGAGCAUUUUUUUAGAUAAGAUUAGUAGAUGUGGUAACCAGCUUCAAAACUUUUCAUUCAAAUUUUUCAGUUUUUGUUUCGAGAAGUAGAGAGAGAGAUUCUAUCUUGAAUAUGUAAUGCGAUGGUUGAACAUCACGCAAUGUUCUUCUAACUUUUACUACAAAUUGAAGACAAACAAACAUUUAAAAUUACUAGAACACUUUUAUAUAAAAUCUUGUAAAGGGAAAUUAAAAAUAAAAAUUAACUUACCACCUACGGCGAUCAUGUUAGAUGACAUUUCUUCUGCUGAAUCUAAAAUAAAGGAAUUAAUAAAAAAAACAUGGUUUAUAACUAAAUGACGUACGAGUAAAUAAUUCCAAAUAUUUAAUUCCUCAAGGUGUAAAACUACUGCUACAUACAACUCUUAAAUCUUAAAAAAAAAAAUAUUUUGUUUCUUCCAAUCAGAAGUGACUGAAUAUGAAAAUAUAUAUAAAUUAGUUAAAGUUAUUUGAUAUAUUGCCUUUGAAUGGAUGGUUUAGCUUUUGAAUAUUUUGUUUGUAGCAAUUACAAAUUUUGUUUUGGUUGUAAUUUCUUUGAUAUUGGUCUUCCCCGUCUGGGGCUCACUAUAAAUCCUUCAACCUUAUAUACAAGCUUAUCUUAAAAAAAAAAAAAAAAAAAAACUGGUCAAACAUCUUUCUACUGCCCAAAUUAGUGUCCACAGAGAUCAACAAUAUAUGCAGGAAUUUUUGAAUUUUCUUUAGGCUGGUUCCGUUUCUUCCUGGAGUCAUCUUGUUUGGAUUUCAAUAUCAAGUCCUCGCCAUAAGUUCGUACUAUGGUUAGGCCAUCUCCAGCGGGCUAGCUUAAGCCCAUUUCCAGCGAGCCAAAUGGACUAUUCCUUCUCCAGCGGGCUAGCUAAAGUGAAUGGGCCAGUAGCGAUCGGGGGCCGACUCGCGAUAUUAAGCGAGCCGGCUCGCGAUCGCUGCCCAUUUUUUUUUUUGUUUUUUCUACUUUAAAAACGGCGUCGUAUUGGCUGCCUAUUUUGUCUCAUCUGCAUAAUGGUGGAACACAUAAUUAUUUUUUUAAAAAAAAAAAAAAAAAAGCUAAAAAUAGGUUCUUUUGAGCUUUUUUUAGGAAAAAAAAAAAUUAAAACAAAAUUCAUUAAAUAAAAAUAUAUAUUAUUUAGGCAUUGUUUGUCCAAAAAAAAAAAAAUUUUGGCCCAAAAAUAAAUUAAAAAACCUAUAUUUUUUUUUUUUUUGUUUUUUCCCUUAAAAUUUGUUUUUUUUUUUUUUUUGAAAAUUUUUUUGCUUUAAAUUUUAAAUGUAAGGCCAAAUAGUGUAUUUGGCCAUUAAGGCACUAUUUCUACAGUACCAAAUAGUGCCUUAACGGCUAUAAUUUUAAAAAAAAAAUUUUAAAAAUUCAAAUUUUACCCUUUUUUUUUUGUUUUUUCCCUUAAAAUUUGAUUUUUUAUUAAUUUUUUUGCUUUAAAUUUUAAACGUGUAGGCCAAAUAGUGUAUGUGGCCGUUAAGGCACUGUUUCUACAGUACCAAAUAGUGCCUUAACGGCUAUAAUUUUAAAAAAAAGUUUAAAAAUUCAAAUUUUUUAACUUUAUUCAAAAAAAAUAAAUAAAUUAAAAUUUUUAAAAUCUCUAGAAAUACCCCAAUUCCUACCAUCACUCAUCACAUCUCUAUUAUCUACCAUUCAACUUAUUUCUUCUUCUAUUUUCUCAAUCUUAGCUAUUAUUUUCAAAGUCAUUUCGAUUCCAUGGAUCCUCGACAUCCAUAUCAUUACAACACCUAAUUCAAUCCAUCAAACGAUGAGUUUUUGCCAUUUCCUGAAGAGAAUAUCAAUUAUUAUGAAGGAGAUUCUCAAUUUCCUUCUCGUCAACCAUCCCAACCUUCUUAUCAACCAUCCCAAACUUCUCAUCAAUAUUGUGGUACUAGUGUUCCACAAUCAAGUAACUCAAAACCCCCGUCAAAACAACCAGCUACUCGACAUAAUAAUUGGACCAAGGCUGAAGAUGAAGCUUUAUGCUGGGCGUGGUUGUCCAUUACCUCUGAUGCGAUUACGGGGGCAGACCAAAGUAAGCAGAAGUUAUGGGAGCGAAUUCUGGAACAAUAUAAACAACAUAUUGGUGUUCCAACUGAGCGAAAUGAUGAAGGUUUGAUGAAUCGUUGGUCAGUGAUACAACAAAAAAUCAGCAAAUUUUCCAGCUGCAUGACUACCAUAGAAAUGAAUCGUCCCAGCGGCUUCAGCAGUGAUGAUAUGAUGAUAGCAGCUAAAGACCUGUUUUGUAGCCAAACAGGUGGUGAAUUUAAGUUAGAAAGUUAAUGGGAGAUCUUGAAGCAUAACAAUAAAUGGAAUUAACAUUGUGCCGAACAAGUAGGAAAAGGAAAAAAGAAAAAAGAGACGAAGAAGAGGAGUGGAUUUGACUUUGACAUUAAUGAGUCUGUUGGGCACUCAUUACCAUCUACUCCGUCAAGUCAUGAAGCCACGACAGAUGGAGCUUCAACUGAAGAAUCACCACACGUAGGGGAAAAUGAUUCACCCUGUGUGGAAGAAUAUCAACUACAAAGACCAGCAAGAAGAAAAGCGGCGAAGCAGCGUCGAGCAAAAAUUAAUUCAGCGAAUGAAUUGCAAAUUUCAUUCGUUUCGAAAUUUAAUAAUAUCACCACCCGUUUUGAGAGUCUUCAGGAAAAAAUGCAAGAUGCCUAAGUGGCACGAGAGGUAAGAAAAAUGGAAAAAGAGAAGACAAGGCAGCUAGAGAUUAAAGAGAAACAGGGACUUGAAGAGAAGGAGCUUAAGUUAACAAAUCCAAAUUCGGCACCAACAGAAGCAGAAAAAGCUUGGAUUAUUGCACGACAAAAUGAGAUAUUGGAAAAGCUUGGAAAAGCUUGAAUUCACAGUCCGCCCCAAAGUUCCCAUAGGAUUUUGUAAUCCUUGGUCUAUUUAUUUUCUUAUUUCAAUUUAGGAUAUUGUAUUAUUUAAGUUAUUUUUAAUUAUUUUGUUUUUUUUUUUUUUUUUAAUCCAUAAUGGAUAAUGUAUUGUUUUAAGUUUUAAUAUCAAUCGUAGUUUUUUUAAUAAUUUACAAAAAUAUUGUUUGAUUGAAAAAUAUUGCCGUUGAGAAAAUAUUGCCUUUUAGGAAAAGUUUAAAAAAAAAAUUUUAAUUUUAAUUUUUUAUUAUUAUUUUUUUUAAGAGCGAAAAUUCGGAGAGUUUGAUGAAGUGAAUGUUUUUGAACUUAAAACUGCUAAUGUGGCUCUUAAAAAAGUUGAUGUGGCGUUUUUAAAGAGGCAAAAUUCGAAGAGGCCGGUGCAGAUGGCCUUAGCAAAUAAAAAAUAGGCUCUUUACCUUUCACAGAAGCGCAUUGUUAAAGAGUCAUUUCCCGUAUCAUUGUACCUUAUAUUGUUCCUCAAACGAGACUCUGAACCACUUGUUCUUCUCGUGUGAAUUCAUUUUCCCAAUUUGGAACUACACACAGAGUAUUUGUGGAUUUCACAUCAACCCUUCUUCAUCGAAUGCCCCAUUUAUCUGGGCAGCUCACCAUUGGCAAUCAAGUUCCAUUUCGAACUCUAUAAGCAAAUUGGCCAUCUCAGCUGCCGUCUACCAUAUCUGGAUGGAAAAUAAAUUGUCUGAUCUUUAGGGGCUCUCUCAAAACUCAACACAUGCUUCAAUUUGAGAUUCGCAAGGCCAUCAGAGAAUGAUUGCUAUCUUCCUCCUUCAAAAAUGGUCUAGCCGCUCAGCGUGCCCGUCGCGCUUAGGAUCUACAGCCAUCUUGCAUCAGGGCCUUCACCGCGUCCGCCGGCUAACCAGUCUCAGAGCAAAUUCAUCCAUUUACAGGAAUGAGGACGUUCCAUCAACAACACCGGAUUGGCUCUUCAGAAGAGUUGGGGCUUUCGGAUCUAAUGCCAUAUGUAUUGGUUCUUGAAAUAAAAAUUGGGCUUUCAGCCAAUCUUUUGUUCAUGUUAGGCAUUUUAGCCCACUCCACUCAUUAAGACCCCUAUAAAUAUCGUCUUAUAUAUAUAUAUUGUUUAACCAUUCGAACAAACGAAAAAAUAAAUAAAAUAAAAAAAUU